rnacentral:rRNA from 1 species
CAGUCGCCACGGGAACACGUAGGGUGCGAGCGUUAAUCGGAAUUACUGGGCGUAAAGCGUGCGCAGGCGGUUGUGUAAGACAGGUGUGAAAUCCCCGAGCUUAACCUGGGAACUGCGCUUGUGACUGCACAGCUAGAGUAUGGCAGAGGGGGGUGGAAUUCCACGUGUAGCAGUGAAAUGCGUAGAGAUGUGGAGGAACACCGAUGGCGAAGGCAGCCCCCUGGGCCAAUACUGACGCUCAUGCACGAAAGCGUGGGGAGCAAACAGGACUAGAUACCCCCGUAGUCCCUGUCUCUUAUAC